UGAAGAUUACGGUGUGGCUAUUGCUGACGGGCCUUUAAAAGGUCUGAAUGCUCGCGCUGUAGUUAUUCUCGACGGUUCUAACAACGUCAUUUAUAGCCA
rnacentral:tRNA from 1 species